ACGAAAAGCGGAAGACUCAAAGAGGUCAGAGCAGAAAGCCCUGUCAUAGAUACAGACAUUGCGCCAUCUGUCACCGACGGCGACACCGACAUCCGGGCACUCACUGUCCGUGUGGUGCGCCGGAGGGGGGAGGGGGAGCGCGCGGCCAGGGGCUUUGUCUUUCCACUCGUGCUCCGCCCCCUUCUUAAAGGGGCCGCGCUCGGCCACGCCCGGGGAUGCGCGGGUGGAGCUGUUCUGGGCGGGAAGUAACUCUGAUCCUCUUCAAACAGAAGUUCCGCAGUGGGGCGACUGGGACCCCAACCCUUCCCGACCAGACAUAACUGCGAAACAGAAAUUAAGGACUACAGGGAAGGAUAAUGUAGAAGUUUCCUUAAAAAUAUGUGGAGGAAGAGCUGCAGAGUUGGCUCAGGGGCUAAGUUCUUUCAGAGGACCCAAGUUCAAUUCCUCGCUCCCACAUCAGGUAGCACGACCCUGCCUGCAGCUGCAACUCCAGGAAUUAGCAUUCCUCUUGCCUCCUCAGGCAACAGCACUCAUGUGCAUACAACAUCCCCCACCAUGCAUGCACACAUACCCAAUUUAAAAAUAAACCUUGAAAAAAAAA
rnacentral:lncRNA from 1 species